rnacentral:pre_miRNA from 1 species
CGGUGGAGGCGGGGUUCUGGGCUAUGUCCCCGGUGCCCUGUACUCCCGGGCCUGUGCUGUUGAAUUAAUGCUCCGGGCCGUGCAUCCCCCU